AUGCCAUCUGCGUGGGAGUCGGGACAGCACUGUCAACCCCGCUCUAUACUCAAUGACUUGGCCUUUACGUACACUGUCUUAGCCACAUUCCCCUCCAUUUCAGCUGCACAAAAUGCACAGAAGAAACAAAUUAACUCAGUUAACAAGUUUAAGCUGAGGACAAGCAAGAAACACUAUGACUUUCACAUUUUGGAAAGGAUUACUGGACAUCAGAGAUUCAUUGCACUUCCGAACAAGGAACCUUCUUUUCAAUUUCUGUGUAAUUUGCAAGGCUGUACAAUAUGUACCGAUGCAAGCUUUUUUCAGUUCAAGAGAACAAAUGCUUACAAAUACAAAAAAAAACCCCCCAAAACAAAAAAAACAAUGGGACAAGUGCAUUCAAAGUAAAGGAGAUCAUCACUUCUCCACCUUUUAGCUAAGGUCAAGUACAAAGUAAGGGAGAUUAAAGGUAAUGUGUCUUUUACUGUGAUUUAAAAAGAAAAACAACAGGGCCAGGGAUUUAGCUUAGUGGUUCCAGCCUGCCUCGAAAGCGCAAGGUCCUGAGUUUGAUCCCUGGUACAAAAAAAAAACAAAAACAAAAACAAACAUAAAAAGGAAAAACAACAACAACAAAAACCCCAACAGCAUUCACUGUACUUUUUGAUCAUAUUGGGAAUUAUAAGUCUACCGAUGGUAUAAGAACAAUAGAGAAUACUGUUUUGUGUUUCUUGGGGUCUAUUUGAAGACUUAAAUUUUCUAUUAGAAGUAGGACAAAAGAAAACAGAUCAAUAAAACAAUGGCACACAAAUGUGUUUAAAAUUUGGAAUCGCUGUAUAAAUUAAACCUAAAAAAAAAGAUAGAGGAACACCAGUAACUAUGUUAAAAGGAUUAUAGAAUGAAAAAUAAGAGCUCUCUGUAGAUGUAUGAAUGAAGCUUUUAUGUAUCAGCACCUAUGAAGAAUUCCUUUACAAGUAUAAAUGAAGCUCAAUCAUCUAAUUAUGAAUUUGAUUUUUGUUAUCAAAAAUUUUUAAACUGACCAAGUGAGACUAUCAAUUGGAUUCAAUGCUGACGCUUGUUUUAUUAGCAAAUUGAUUAUAACAGUUUUAAGACAUCAUGUGAACAAUAAGUUAAGCAAAUGGUCCAUGUUGACCAACACGCUUAGCUGGAAAGAAUGAGAAAGUACUAUAAGAGAGAUGAAAUCAUUAAUAUUGGGAAGAUUUCUAUACUGGUACUUUUACAGUUACUGCUGCUCCAAAAAAUGUUUACCUCACUUAAGAUACAAUUAAAUUAAUCAUAUUUAAAAGUCAUACAAAUGUUCUAUGCAUCCUACAUAUACGCAAUUACUGAUUUAAAGGAAUAAAAUUAAGCACAAACAUCAGUAAAGGGGCUGCAGGUAACUUUAGUGUAAAAAGUGACAGAAUUGGAUUGAAACAAGAUAUUAAUUAUUAAAGUAAAAUGUAGACCUGACAAGGAAGUGUAUGUCAAAUUGACUCAUUUUCAGUCUUCUCAUUUAAAAAGAUGCGCUUUGUAUUUUAAACACGUUUAAACACAUAAAUAUAAAAAUUAGCCUAUCACAUGAUUUAAAACUUCCUAAUUUUUCCUUCUAUAUGUAGGGAAUACAUGCCAUUAUGUAUAUUUUCACCUAGCCAGUGGAUCUCCUAGGAAGGUACUUAUGAGAGUAAGGUUUGAUGCACCUGUUGAUGCAAACCUAAUCAAGGAAUGGGGCCAUGAUGCAGACUGCACAGGAUACACUUCCUAGCAACUUUCAAAUACAAUUUGAACUUAGCUUCGAUCCAUAACAAUGAAUGGAAAAAAAUCUUUAACUGAAAUGCAAUGUUCUCUUUCAUUAUGAUUAGAGGCAACAAACCAAACAGCUUAGUUUUCUUCAUAUUCAAAAGUAUUACAUGUAUUUAAUAACAUUCUGAAAAUGAGUCUGAAGAAUCCUGAUUUAGAUGAAGUGACGAUAAUGACAUGAGUUUACACUGUUUUUAUACUAAGAUUAAGUGAUAAAUUCAAAGUUCAUACUUGUUUAUUCAAUAAAAAUCCU
rnacentral:lncRNA from 1 species